UAGGGAAUCUUCCACAAUGGGCGAAAGCCUGAUGGAGCAACGCCGCGUGUGUGAUGAAGGGUUUCGGCUCGUUAGAACACUGUUGUAAGAGAAGAAUGACAUUGAGAGUAACUGUUCAAUGUGUGACGGUAUCUUACCAGAAAGGAACGGCUAAAUACGUACCAG
rnacentral:rRNA from 1 species